GGCGGGACAUGUUCAAUAUAACACGGCUUCACCUAUAACGCUGUAAGAUUUUUUGGCUCCCAAGGACAGCGUUAUAUCGAGGUAGAGGUUAUAUGUGCCUGUCCC